ACGGUACUUAACCCAGGAAAAGCCCAGGUUUAACUAACGUGCCACGCGCCGGCGGGUAUUACGUAGGUGGCCAAGGCUUUGUUCCGGAAUUUAUGGGGUUAAAGCGCCGGCCAGGCGGGUCUCCUCUUAAGUCUGACUGGAGAAAGCCCCGGGCUCAUCCCCUGGGAGGGUCCAUUGGGAAACUUGGGGAACUGAAGUGCCAGAAGAGAAAAGGCGGAAUUCCACGGUAGCGGUGAAACUCGUUGGAGAUGUGGAGGAACCCCACGUGCGAAGGGCGGUUUUUUGUUCUGUAAAUGAGGUGAGGGCGGGAAAAGCUUGGGAGCAAACCGGGAUUAGAUACCCCGGUAGUUCCCGCCCGUAAAAGAAGAAGUGCUAAGUGUUAGAGGGUUUUCCGCCCCCUUAGUGCUGCAGGUAACGCCCUUAAACCAUUCCCGCUUAGGAAUACGGCCGCAAACCUGAAAAUUCAAGGAAUUGAAGGGGGGCCGCCCAAGCCGUGGGACCAGUGGUUUUAUUUGAAGCAACCCGGAGAACCUUUCCCGGUUUUGACAUCCUUUGACAAUCCUAGAAAAUGGAAGUUUCCCUUUGGGGGACAAAGGGACCAGUGGGGCCUGGUUGUUGUCAGCUCGGGUUGUGAGAUGUUGGGUUAAAUUCCGCCACGAGGCCCACCCUUUAUUUUUAUUUCCAGCAAUUCAUUUGGCACUUUUAGGUGGCUGCCGGGGACAAACCGGGAGGAGGUGGGGAUGAACUCAAAUCAUCAUGCCCCUUAUGACCUGGGGUACACACGUUCUACAAUGGAUGGGAAAAAGGGCCAGCAAGCCGGGGGGCCUAGCCCAUUCCCUAAAACCCUUUUCAGUUUGGAUUGUAGGGUGCAAAUUGCCUACAAGAAGGCGGAAUUGGUUGUAAUUCGGGGUCAACCUCCCCGCGGGAAAUACGUCCCGGGCCCUGUACACCCCCCCCCUCACAACCGGGAGAGUUUGUAACAUCCGAAAGUCCGGGGGGUAACCCUCAAUGGAGCCAACCGC
rnacentral:rRNA from 2 species